GGAAUCCUUCGGGAUUUAGUGGCGGACGGGUGAGUAACACGUAAGAACCUGCCUCUAGGACGGGGACAACAGUUGGAAACGACUGCUAAACCCGGAUGAGCCGAAAGGUAAAAGAUUUAUCGCCUAGAGAGGGGCUUGCGUCUGAUUAGCUAGUUGGUAAGGUAAGAGCUUACCAAGGCGACGAUCAGUAGCUGGUCUGAGAGGAUGAUCAGCCACACUGGGACUGAGACACGGCCCAGACUCCUACGGGAGGCAGCAGUGGGGAAUUUUCCGCAAUGGGCGAAAGCCUGACGGAGCAAGACCGCGUGGGGGAGGAAGGUUCUUGGAUUGUCAACCCCUUUUCUCAGGGAAGAACUCAAUGACGGUACCUGAGGAAAAAGCAUCGGCUAACUCCGUGCCAGCAGCCGCGGUAAUACGGGGGAUGCAAGCGUUAUCCGGAAUGAUUGGGCGUAAAGAGUCCGUAGGUAGCCAAUCAAGUCUGCUGUUAAAGAGCGAGGCUUAUCUUCGUAAAGGCAGUGGAAACUGGAAGGCUAGAGUGUAGUAGGGGCAGAGGGAAUUCCUGGUGUAGCGGUGAAAUGCGUAGAGAUCAGAAGAACACCGGUGGCGAAGGCGCUCUGCUGGGCUAUAACUGACACUGAGGGACGAACAGCUAGGGGAGCGAAUGGGAUUAGAUACCCCAGUAGUCCUAAGCGGUAAACGAUGGAAAACUAGGUGUGG
rnacentral:rRNA from 1 species